UACGUAGGGACCAAGCGUUGUUCGGAUUUACUGGGCGUAAAGGGCGCGCAGGCGGCUCAUUUUGUCAGGCGUGAAAGCCCCGGGCUCAACCUGGGAAUUGCGAUGGAGACUGCAAGGCUUGAAUCUGGCAGAGGGGGGUAGAAUUCCACGUGUAGCAGUGAAAUGCGUAGAGAUGUGGAGGAACACCGAUGGCGAAGGCAGCCCCCUGGGUCAAGAUUGACGCUCAUGCACGAAAGCGUGGGGAGCAAACAGG
rnacentral:rRNA from 1 species